rnacentral:lncRNA from 1 species
UUGGGGGAUGGGUUCUGUGCACUGUGUUUUCAGAUACUGAUUCCCAUGCCCAGACAGCUGGCAGCAGUCUAGAUGAAGGCCAGGUCAAGCAUCUCUGGUCUCAAUGUCAUGUAAAAAUUGUUUUCCAUCACUUCUGAUUUGUUAGUAAAAGAGCCGGUCAGCCAAUGAGCUGGGCAGAAGAAAUAGGGCGGGACUCCCGAUCCUAGUCAUGGGACCCUGCCCGCCCCAGAUUUCCCAAUUCCAGCGUGGGGUUAAAGAAAAGUAGCCAUGGGAACACAGGAACAUCAGGCUCACCGGAAUACAUGAGAUGAUGGGGAACUGGAACCCUUGGAGGCUCUCUGUAUUUUAUGGGAUGACUUGUAUUUGCUUGAUGUCCAGUCUGU